rnacentral:rRNA from 1 species
UACGUAGGGGCAAGCGUUGUCCGGAUUUAUUGGGCGUAAAGAGCUCGUAGGCGGCUUGUCGCGUCGACUGUGAAACCCGUGGCUCAACCAUGUGGUCUGCAGUCGAUACGGCAGGCUAGAAUUCGGUAGGGAGACUGGAAUUCCUGGUGUAGCGGUGGAAUGCGCAGAUAUCAGGAGGAACACCAAUAGCGAAGGCAGCUCGCUGGACGUACUGACACUGAGGCGCGAAGCGUGGGAGCGAACAGG